rnacentral:rRNA from 1 species
UACGUAGGGUGCAAGCGUUAAUCGGAAUUACUGGGCGUAAAGCGUGCGCAGGCGGUUCUAUAAGACAGAUGUGAAAUCCCCGGGCUCAACCUGGGAACUGCAUUUGUGACUGUAGAGCUGGAGUGCGGCAGAGGGGAAUGGAAUUCCGCGUGUAGCAGUGAAAUGCGUAGAUAUGCGGAGGAACACCGAUGGCGAAGGCAAUCCCCUGGGCCUGCACUGACGCUCAUGCACGAAAGCGUGGGGAGCAAACAGG